AGGGCCGCAGAGACCAGGUGGCUGCGACUGUUUAUUAAAAACACAGCACUCUGCAAAUUCGUAAGAAGACGUAUAGGGUGUGACGCCUGCCCGGUGCCGGAAGGUUAAUUGAUGGGGUUAUCUUCGGAGAAGCUCUUGAUCGAAGCCCCGGUAAACGGCGGCCGUAACUAUAACGGUCCUAAGGUAGCGAAAUUCCUUGUCGGGUAAGUUCCGACCUGCACGAAUGGCGUAACGAUGGCCACACUGUCUCCACCCGAGACUCAGUGAAAUUGAAAUCGCUGUGAAGAUGCAGUGUACCCGCGGCUAGACGGAAAGACCCCGUGAACCUUUACUAUAGUUUUGCACUGGACUUUGAUGAUGACUGUGUAGGAUAGGUGGGAGGCUGUGAAGUGAGGACGCUAGUUCUCAUGGAGCCGCCCUUGAAAUACCACCCUGUUGUUAUUGAGGUUCUAACUUGGUCCAGUAAUCCUGGAUGAGGACAGUGUAUGAUGGGUAGUUUGACUGGGGCGGUCUCCUCCCAAAGAGUAACGGAGGAGCACAAAGGUACCCUCGGUACGGUCGGACAUCGUACCAAGAGUGUAAAGGCAAAAGGGUGCUUGACUGCGAGAGUGACGGCUCGAGCAGGAACGAAAGUUGGUCUUAGUGAUCCGGUGGUUCUGAAUGGAAGGGCCAUCGCUCAACGGAUAAAAGGUACUCCGGGGAUAACAGGCUGAUACCGCCCAAGAGUUCAUAUCGACGGCGGUGUUUGGCACCUCGAUGUCGGCUCAUCACAUCCUGGGGCUGAAGCAGGUCCCAAGGGUAUGGCUGUUCGCCAUUUAAAGUGGUACGCGAGCUGGGUUUAGAACGUCGUGAGACAGUUCGGUCCCUAUCUGCCGUGGGCGUAGGAAAAUUGAGAGGAGCUGCUCCUAGUACGAGAGGACCGGAGUGGACGAACCUCUGGUGCACCGGUUGUCACGCCAGUGGCAUGGCCGGGUAGCUAAGUUCGGACGGGAUAACCGCUGAAAGCAUCUAAGCGGGAAGCCUCCCUCAAGAUGAGUUUUCCCAUGAAGCCCGUUGAAGACUACGACGUUGAUAGGCAAGGUGUGGAAGCGCAGUAAUGCGUGAAGCUAACUUGUACUAAUUGGCUGAUUGUCUUGACCAUAUAAUCUGAG
rnacentral:rRNA from 1 species